rnacentral:rRNA from 1 species
GCAUGGCUGUCGUCAGCUCGUGUUGUGAAAUGUUGGGUUAAGUCCCGNAACGAGCGCAACCCUUAUCCUUUGUUGCCAGCGGUUCGGCCGGGAACUCAAAGGAGACUGCCGGUGAUAAACCGGAGGAAGGUGGGGAUGACGUCAAGUCAUCAUGGCCCUUACGGCCAGGGCUACACACGUGCUACAAUGGCGCAUACAAAGAGAAGCGACCUCGCGAGAGCAAGCGGGACCUCAUAAAGUGCGUCGUAGUCCGGAUUGGAGUCUGCAACUCGACUCCAUGAAGUCGGAAUCGCUAGUAAUCGUAGAUCAGAAUGCUACGGUGAAUACGUUCCCGGGCCUUGUACACACCGCCCGUCACACCAUGGGAGUGGGUUGCAAAAGAAGUAGGUAGCUUAACCCUCGGGAGGGCGCUUACCACUUUGUGAUUCAUGACUGGGGUGAAGUCGUAACAAGGUAAGCGUAGCGAG